UCGCCCUCUAUCUCUCUCAACACUAUACUACUAAAAAAAUUAUAAUCUAUAAUUUUUACUAUAUUUCAUAAUAUUCAAAUUUCUCUCCUAAAAAAUUCUUAUGAAUUAAUUUUGAAGAGAAAUUGCUAUUAGAUAUUAAUUUUAGGUGAAUUAAAAUAUAAAAAGAGAGAAAAUAACAAAAAAUAAAUAUAAAAAAAUCACUUAAAUCCUUGGAUUUAAAGCUUUUAGGAGAUAAAAAAGACAUUUGAUCCAUUCACAACCCUCAAUCUGAGUAUCAGGUAAUUUUCUUAACAUUUUUUUUACAUUCUUGUAUUUUUAUUAUUUUUAUGCUUUUAUUAAUUUAUGUUUCUUUAAAUUAUUGUCUAUUUAUAUUUGGUCAUUUUAUAUUUUCUUAAGUUAUAUUUAAGUUGUAUUCUUUUUACGCACUGUUUAUUACUAUUCAUCAUACUGAUUAAUAUAUUUAUCCGUAUAAAUUUUAUUAUUUUGUGGUUGAAUGUAAAAAAUGAAAUUAAAAUAAAAAAUUAAAAAAAAUUAAAAUUAAAAUAUGAGUUAAAUAUUAAGUAAUAACUAUGUAUGUUUUAUUUUUAUUCGUUUAUGGAUUUAAUUUUUCGUUCGAUUUUUGUAUAUAUUUUUUU
rnacentral:lncRNA from 1 species